UACGUAGGGGGCUAGCGUUGUCCGGAAUCAUUGGGCGUAAAGCGCGUGUAGGCGGUCCGGUAAGUCCGCUGUGAAAGUCGGGGGCUCAACCCUCGAAAGCCGGUGGAUACUGUCGGGCUAGAGUACGGAAGAGGCGAGUGGAAUUCCUGGUGUAGCGGUGAAAUGCGUAGAUAUCGGAAGGAACAUCAGUGGCGAAAGCGACUUCCUGGACCAAUACUGACGCUCAUGUGCGAAAGCGUGGGGAGCAAACAGG
rnacentral:rRNA from 1 species